GCGAGAUAAUAAUCGUACAAUAAGUCAGUUUGAGAACAGUUGCAUCAUUACUGUAGGCAUAUAAGUGUUCUAUUCUUACACUAUGGUGUAGGUUGAGAUAGACACAAUAAUUAAAUAUAGUGAUCUAUCCAGCCAAAGGGUAUGAUUUUGUUCGAUUAGUACCUAUGGUGAACGAGCGACCCGCUGGAACAGUGAUAAUAUUCUUUGCGUAUUAUCUCUGGAAUGUGUGGGUUAUUUAUUGAUUAGUCGAUUAUUCUGAUAAAUAAUCUACAAAAUAUAACGCACGUAUUUUGCUCUCAGAUGUUCUUAUGUAGAGUGCGUACAAGCUUGAUUUAAUCAAAAUCAUCUGUUACCGAUAACAUGAUUUGCAUGCGUCGCAGCAGAAAAAGAAAGGACGCUCGGGACCACAGUGGACGGGUGCCUUAAGACUUUAUGCCACUUAAGAAGAAACUAAGAGGUCUUUACGCACCAUAUCAGAUUUCAUUGAUUUCCAGCUACUGUGAUUUACUCCGUCACGAGCUAUGAAUGAAAACAGCUUGGAUACGCUAUUAUCAAAAAUCGGAGAGUUUGGACGAUACCAAAUUCGGGUUAUAACGUUACUCCUCCUGGUAAUCGCGUUUUCGUACGUUGCCUCAAUUUCUUGGCUAUUUGAAACUAAAAACCUAAAUUAUAGGUACAGUCUCUUGUAAAAGUAAUGUCCCUCAGAUAC